GAUGAACGCUGGCGGCGUGCUUAGCACAUGCAAGUCGAACGGAAAGGCCCAAGCUUGCUUGGGUACUCGAGUGGCGAACGGGUGAGUAACACGUGGGUGAUCUGCCCUGCACUUCGGGAUAAGCCUGGGAAACUGGGUCUAAUACCGGAUAGGACCACAUUUUGGAUGGUGUGGUGGAAAGUUUUUCGGUGUGGGAUGAGCUCGCGGCCUAUCAGCUUGUUGGUGGGGUAAUGGCCUACCAAGGCGUCGACGGGUAGCCGGCCUGAGAGGGUGUACGGCCACAUUGGGACUGAGGUACGGCCCAGACUCCUACGGGAGGCAGCAGUGGGGAAUAUUGCACAAUGGGCGCAAGCCUGAUGCAGCGACGCCGCGUGGGGGAUGACGGCCUUCGGGUUGUAAACUCCUUUCGCUAGGGACGAAGCGUUAUGUGACGGUACCUGGAGAAGAAGCACCGGCUAACUACGUG
rnacentral:rRNA from 1 species